GACUGGGUGGGCAAAGAUAUGUACUUCUGUGAUUGCCCAGCCGCAGGAGAAAGAGCAUGCAGUCUGACCUGAGCUUCUUCAGGUUUCCUUGGGAUUCAGCAGAUGCCAGAAGUGGGUGGAGAAUUGUGGGAGAGCAGACUCAGAUGUCGCAACACCGGAUCAACUAAAUAAACAUUACCAAAGCGUUUGCGAAACACUUUGAGACUUCUGUGAUCUGCAGAGUAGUCCUUAUAGGAUUGUUCUUUGAGAUAAUGCAGGACCAACAACAUUUGAUCUUACCAGUUAUUUGAAAGAUCCAAAUAGUAGUCACAGAAAACAAAUUAAAGAACCGAGUAAAGAUGAAAUCAGAACACUGAAACAGAAAAAUAUUGAUGAAAUUUCUGAACAGGAACAGAAACAUCGGGGUUUUUCGCAUGUGGAUAUCCAGUUGCUCCAGUAGAGUUACUGAAGACAGUGAAGAACAGGUAAGGAACUGAAGGAACUACGCCACGCUCGGUGGACAGGCAGAGAAGAUGCAUUUGAUGUUGGAGUGGACCUCCUGCAAGCACUGGUGUUAAUGUUUACAUGGUGUAAAUAGUGACACAAUUAUUAGAUGGAAUAACCGUAAAGCAGGCUGAGCACUUGUAAUCUGUAGAGCAGUGGCAGAUUUUGAUUAUUUUGUUACUAUUCUUGUUCUUAGAAUGUCUGAUCCUUUACACAGACCUCUGGGAAAAAUCUCCAGGGACAAAUUUCUGAUGUCAGCUUUGCCGCUGCUGUACUGCUCUCACUCAGGGAAGGGUAGCAACCAACUGGAUGAACCAACUGGGAUGAAACUCCCUGGGAAGUUUCUUAGGGCGCAGCCAGAUGACGCAGAAUCUCAGCUAACCUCCAAGAGUCACCUUAAAGAAACCCUGAGUGUCCAACAGUGGAGCACAUUGUUCCAGACCAGCAUCUCAAAGCUCUUAAGCGCUUAUCUCUGGUACCCUCAGUCAUGGGACAGCUGGCAUUCAACACAUCAGAGCAGCACCAUGCUAACACCUAUAGAAAGAAGGGACUUCCCGGUCCUGCACUCUCAGCUGAGCUUCCGGUUGGAGAAUCAAAUGGAAGCCCAGAGGAAGACACAAAACCUCCACCUCCCAUUCACGAAGCUCUCUCUUUGCCUGACUUGGUUUUCUCCUGAUGUGUACACCUUGUUGAAUGUCCUGAGCCUUCAUCCCGUGCUGAAAGCUGAGAGCCUCAGAGCAGCCCUGGCAACACUUUGACAGACAAAGAUAAAGUAGGGUGGCUUUGCUUAACAUAAUUUUGAUAUAAAACAUGCUCCAGAUUUAAUGGUGAGCCCAUCAAAUCAAACUAUACACAAGUAAAUCAGAGUUUCCUAGGAAGAAUUUAGAGACUGCUGAAAAUGACCAAGAAAUGUUUAAAACAGCCUUUCUCUCAUGUUUGCUAUUCGUAAGGAAAACCAUCAGGGGUGUGUAGCCAGCUGGUCACUGAGUAGGUGAGCCUCUAGGCCUGGGGCUGACUGUGUCAGCCACUGACAAUCUCCGCAUUCCAAUGGCCCCUCUGAACUCUGCUGAGAGCCCUGGCAGUGCCCACUUUACUUCAGGGUGCCCUCUGCUGGUGGCACUGUGGAACUGUCUCAGUUAAGACAUUUUAGACAACACUGUAUUGAGUUGUCAGUUUUUGAAGAAAUGAAUUUUGAGGUGAUGUGGGAGAAAGGUAUACAUUUUAUGACAUGGUACGGUGAAGCCCAUCACCGGCCUGUGACGAGAAGGGGUUUUCAGUGUGUUAUUAACAAUCCAUAGUGGACGGCGAAGGGCAUCCCUAGAGAGGAGUUUAUGAGCUCGCCAGCUCUCAGGGCAGAUUUUGUCUUUACGAAGUGAAGCUGAACGGAAAAGCCACCAUAUUCUGCAUCUGGCUGCUGGGGUACACUCCUCCGCUGCACCCACAUCUUCUAAACUGCUCCCCAGGGGAAUGCUGACCUCCCAGUCCAGAUGGAGCCUGAGGCUGUCACCCGGGCAAGGGACUUGUUCAUUUUCUUCUGUUUUUUUCCGUGACCCUCCUGCCUUGCCUUGAUUUAGAAGCAAAACCUGGAAAACCUACAAAGAACCUCUGGCUGUGUUGGAAAAGCUGCUUUUCCCGGGGCUCUGAAGUCCACACCACAGAGGAGGCAGCCGAGGACACAGGGUGUUGAGCCCCUCUGCUCCAGAGCAACGGAGCUGCCAGCCCUGCAGGUCAGACAGUCCUGUUAACCGGCAAAAUUACGGCCUUGGUUUGGACUUCCCAGGUUUUCACCUCCAGUGUGCCCACCUCUUCCUGCUCCCCACAAAUCUGUAAAACCCCAAUAAAUGCGGCUAUCGGGAAGCAUUCUUAUCCUACUCCCACAGA